GCGACUCCCCCCGCCCCCCCAAAGGGACCGGCCCCGGCCCCCCCCCCACGGAGCCCGCCGUGCCCCCCGGGGCCGUGGCCGCUGUUUCCUUCGGGGCCUUCGUGGUGGGGGCGGCCCUGGCGGGGGGGCUCUGGUUUGUCCACGGCCGCACAGCUCAGGACCACCGACCCGAAGCCGCCUCCAGCCAGGACCCCCCUGGCAGCACCCUGAGCCCGGGACCCCCCCCCCAGGACCCCCCCCCAAUUGCCUGGGUCCCCCCAGGGACCCCCCCCUCUUUCCCAGGGGCGGGGGGGGGCAAAUAAAGGUGCUGCUGAACCCCC